rnacentral:lncRNA from 10 species
AGUUCCUGGCACAGAAGUACUAAAGCCAUUGGAAUGUCCUGAGUCAUAGGAUGCCUUUUGCUGUUCCACCACACAUGAACUUAUGCUAGUGAGGGCUAACUACCUGAGACAUGAGGAUGAGAAGCUGGAGGAGACUCAGAGGGCACCUCAAUGGAAGACAACUGUGACUCCAAUGACCCAAAGCACACAUUGUCACAUCCCAUGUGCUCAAAUAUGACACACUUCACUGACAAAGAAGGUUCCUUGGUUUUACUACACUACUUGUCAUCAAAAUGUAGCUGAUUUUCAUAGUUUGGAAAUAGAAUGUAUGCUAAUGGUCUCAUCAGGAAAUGUGAAUGUCCUGGGUGUUUUGUCUGUUUAUGGGGUUCUGAAGAAAAGAGCUGCUCUGCAGAGAUGGUAAGCUAUUUAACAAGGAUAGGUUUUUUAGUUUAAGCCAACAAAGAAUUAAAAUAACAGUGGAUUGCUAGCCAGGAUAAAGUAGUCACAUCUGAUGUGUGUGUGCAUGACAUCAAAAGAAUAGGGAAGAGAGCUUCAAGUAUUUACUCUGAUACUUUUAAAAAUUGUAAGGUUUUAGGUAAAUUUACUUCCUUGUUUUUUCCUUGUGUUUUUCUUUCCAUAGUAUUCAAACAAAAUAUUGACUCACCUCCCCUAAAAUUAGCUAUAGAGAAUUGCAGAUCACUUCUGUGCUAUGGGAUGCAGGAUUAGCUGGGAGGUCAGUUUGGUUUGAAGCAUUUCUUAAACCUAUCUGACCUUUGAAAUCAUUUCAUUGUUGUUGCAUCUCUCAGGACUGGACAUUUGGGGAAACUCUACUAUAGACCAGUAGAACUCAUUUGGUCAUUAUACCUACCAAAUAAUACAACUUCAAGAAAUAAACUGUACUAAGUAAUUAUGGACUUAAUAGUAGAACAGUAUGGAAAGUUACCAGAGUUAUCAUAAUAAAGACCGGUAUUAGUAAAUUAACUUACUCACUUACCAAGUUGCUUGGUUCUGUUCAGCCUGACUCAUCAUUCAUAAAAACCUUACUCUCAUCUUAACUUUUUCAGGGGCCUCAUCUACUCCCCUUAGCUACCCUAACCAUUCUUUUGAAAGAUUCAAACUUCUCCAUUGAGCUAAGAGUAGUUGGUCAUGUGUUAGUAAUUGGUGUCUCUAAUCUUCUCUUUGCUUUCUAUACUUCAAAAAAUUCAAACUACUUUUUAGAUGAAAGAGAGGGAGGAGAAUAUAUGGAGAAAGGGAAGUCACCAAAUUAAAAUUAAACCAUAUAGUUUGUUUGGUUAUAGUCUCAAAAUAAACAAUGAUGGUAUUCGAACAUAAGGACAUCAAAUCAAUGUUUUCUUGUAUUUGUGAAGUUGGUAAGAGGACUUGAAAACUAUUUGCCACUCAUUAUAUUCCUAAAUUCUUCAUUUAAAAUGUGAAAUGUCUAGGAAUAUUAGAGGUGACUAAGAAAAUUAUAAAAUAUGAUAUUAAGUCCUGCAUGUAUUGGAAUUGCUAAGAUAAAAUAAGUCAAUUUUGUUUAAUGAAGAAAAUAUUUCAGUUAAACAGGUGGUUUUAUUAUGAAUGCUUGUAACUUUCAACUUUGGAUACAGAUGUGAAUUC